AAAACUUGUUUAGGUAUAUUAUAAAACAAUUCAAGAACGCUUAAAUAAAAAUAAAUAAAAAAAAUCCACCAAAUAUAGAAGAUGUAGAUGCAGUUCAGCAAUGAGCCCGACGCAAUCAAAAUAGAUCGUGCGAGCAAAUGACAGAACCACAACUAAAUUAAUGUCGCAAACGAAGAAAUUGCCUCAAAACAUUCGUGUAAUACACAGUUAAGGGACAGAGUGAGUUUGCUUCAAAAGUAAAAUGAAAAUGAAAAAAGAUAAAUAAAAAAAUGUUGCAGUACUAAAGGGCCUGAAAGAUCAGAUUGAAAUCAAAAUCAGACGAGUGAGCCUGCAUCGAAAUUGAUAUCCGCAAGUAUAUAAAUAUAAUUGAUUGAACCGUAGAAUCAACAGAGUUCAAUCAAGAAGCUGACUUGCGAUUCAAAUGAAAAAAUUUGUGAAAUUUCAGAAAGAAAGAAAAAUAUGAGAAAAUAAUCAAUCGUAGAAGAAUACGUAUAUAGAUGCUAUAUCAAUGAAAAUUGAAUUAAAAACUUCGAAAUUAAGAACAGAAAAAAUAAAAGGAAC
rnacentral:lncRNA from 1 species